AGACACCCUAAACUUUGUGCAUUUGCAUUAUUAUUUGAAGGAAUUGUACUUAAAAAUGGAAGGAUUAUUAAAAUGAAAUUAAAAGAAGUUCAAACAACAAAACCAACACCUCUGAAAAAUAAUUUAUUUUAGAGAAAACAACUGAUUCCUGAAAAAACGAAACUCGCAGUAUGUACCUUAUUUACUUUCAGGGUUGCCAUGGACUACAGAUGUUUCUGAGCUCCCAUCAUUACAGUCCCAAGAUGAACCUAAAGUCAAAAUGAAAUAUGACUCUUCAGACUUUACAAGGCACUGUUCCUUCUGCAUAUGGAUGGGGAAAAUGAUUUGCUGUGCAAGAUUUGGAUUCUGAUAGUUAAAAAAAAUGUUUGCAGCUUCUUUACAAUUCCUAACUGAAAGGUAGGCUCUUUAUCAUGUAUCUUUGAAGCUGAAUGAUCUUGUAUUAACUUCAGCCAGUAAAUUAUGAUGGAAUUGAAUAUGUUGUUUGGAUUUCAGGCUAUAUAACAAAUUGCAGCUUCUGUUGCAUAGGCUGAAAAAAAUCUUUUGGCAUCCCAAGACACAAUUUGAGAAAUGUGAUUACUGUCAGAGCACAACAUAUUGAGGAGUCCCAAUCCAUCAGAACUGUUCUUGUCUCUAUAGAUACUCAGGGUUUCCAAAUAAGUCAAUCUUGAUGUCAACUCUGCUCAGGUACAAGACGUACUAGUAAAUCCACAUCCAUGUGAAGCUGGGCAUAAGCAUUGUAUUUCUCCAACUGGUUUAAGUUUCACAGAUAUUUUGGAUAAGAUAAAAGUCAUUCCAGACAUAACUUUUCUGGACUGAACAUUCAAGAGCAUCUGGCAUAACAGAGUGUUUGGCAUGUACUCCUAAAUUUUUGGGAAAUUUGUAACACCACGAUAUUAACAGGAGCAUGUUUCC
rnacentral:lncRNA from 1 species